UGAGAAGGAAUCUCAUCAAUGCAUAUAUAUAUCUCAAAAGGCAGGUGCCAAGAGGAUGGUGCCAGGCUCUUUUCAGUGGUCCCCAGUGACAGGAUCAAGGAGCAGUGGCCAUAAACUAAACACAAGAGGUUCCACUUCAACAUGGGGAAGAAUUUGUUUACACUGAGG